rnacentral:rRNA from 1 species
AUUGAACGCUGGCGGCAGGCCUAACACAUGCAAGUCGAACGAGUGGCGGACGGGUGAGUAAUGUCUGGGAAACUGCCUGAUGGAGGGGGAUAACUACUGGAAACGGUAGCUAAUACCGCAUACCAUCAGAUGUGCCCAGAUGGGAUUAGCUUGUUGGUGGGGUAACGGCUCACCAAGGCGACGAUCCCUAGCUGGUCUGAGAGGAUGACCAGCAAGACGGUAACUGAGACAGGGUCAAGACACGUACGGGAGGAAGGAGUGGGGAAUAUAGCACAAUGGGCGAAAGCCUGAUGAAGCCAUGCCGCGUGUAUGAAGAAGGGCUUCGGGUUGUAAAGUACUUUCAGCGGGGAGGCGUUACCCGAAGAAGAAGCACCGGCUAACUCCGUGCCAGCCGCCGCGGUAAUAC